rnacentral:other from 1 species
CUUUGCCUGGGGUGUGCGAUAACCUGUCAUUUUGAACCUACAUGACAAAAAAGGGAACCUCAUAUGUCUAUGUGAUGCCGGGCCUCAAGCUAAUUCCCUUUGGGCAGUGGAGGGCAGAGACAUUGACUGCGGGUACCCACCUAGCUGAGGCUAGGUGUCAAAAGACAGGGACGGCACUCUGGGCCUUCC